CUCACUUCUGAGGUCUUGGUUCUGCUCCGGCUCUGCGCCGGCUCCGUCCACGUGCCCUGCUGUCUUACAGAGGAGGAAGGUGAGGAAGAAGCUCCUGAGAUCUUACAGCUCCUGUGCGGCAGAGCUGGGGUCUGAGCCCGGUUUCCCGGAUCCCAGUUUUCCGAAGUGUCACGCUACGGUGUCCCAUUCCCCUCUUUGCUCCAUUUGCUAGGGAGCUCAGCCUGGAGCUCUGGGUUGACUCUCAGGGGCCACAUCAGCCUAGGCUUUGGGUCAUAUUUGUGUCAGCCCCAUCCUCAGACUUUCAUCCUCCCUGCCGGGCCUCCCGUGGAGCAGGCCGGACAUAAGUUAUCAACUAUAAAUAAAACCAAGACUUCCGUUCUGGCUCUCA